rnacentral:rRNA from 1 species
UACAUAGGUCCCGAGCGUUGUCCGGAUUUAUUGGGCGUAAAGCGAGCGCAGGUGGUUUAUUAAGUCUGGUGUAAAAGGCAGUGGCUCAACCAUUGUAUGCAUUGGAAACUGGUAGACUUAAGUGCAGGAGAGGAGAGUGGAAUUCCAUGUGUAGCGGUGAAAUGCGUAGAUAUAUGGAGGAACACCGGUGGCGAAAGCGGCUCUCUGGCCUGUAACUGACACUGAGGCUCGAAAGCGUGGGGAGCAAACAGG